rnacentral:rRNA from 1 species
GACGAACGCUGGCGGCGUGCUUAACACAUGCAAGUCGAACGGAAAGGCCCGGCUUUUGUGGGGUGCCCGAGUGGGGAACGGGUGAGUAAGACAUGAGUAACCUACCCUUGCCUUUGGGAUAACUUCAGGAAACAGGGGCUAAUACCGGCUAGGAGCUCCUCCUUCAUGGCAUGGGUUGGAAAGUUUCGGCGGUUGGGGUUGGUCUGGCGGCUUUUAAGCUUGUUGGUGGGGUAGUGGAUUACGACGGAGUGGUCGGGUAGCCGGCCUGAGAGGGUGACCGGCCACAUUGGGACUGAGAUACGGCCAGGACUCCUACGGGAGGCAGCAGUGGGGAACAGUGCACAAUGGGCGGAGGCCGGAUGCAGCAACGCCGCGUGCGGGAGGACGGCCUUCGGGUUGUAAACCGCUUUCGCCGAUGACGAAGCGUGAGUGACGGUAAUGGGUAAAGAAGCACCGGCUAACUACGUG